AUGUCUCGUGGCGGCGGCUACGGGGAGAUGGGGCAGAAGAUCGACUAUGUGUUCAAGGUGGUGCUCAUCGGCGACUCCGCCGUCGGCAAGUCGCAGCUGCUGGCGCGGUUCGCGCGCAACGAGUUCAGCCUCGACUCCAAGGCCACCAUCGGCGUCGAGUUCCAGACCAAGACCCUCCAGAUCGACAACCGCACCGUCAAGGCCCAGAUCUGGGACACCGCGGGACAAGAGAGGUACCGAGCAGUAACAAGUGCCUAUUACAGAGGUGCAGUAGGAGCUAUGCUAGUGUAUGACAUGACCAAGCGCCAGUCCUUUGAUCAUAUGGCACGGUGGCUCGAGGAAUUGCGAAGCCAUGCUGACAAGAACAUUGUUAUCAUGCUCAUCGGGAACAAAUCGGACCUGGGCACCCUCCGGGCUGUCCCAACAGAGGACGCCAAGGAGUUCGCCGAGCGUGAGAGCCUUUUCUUCAUGGAGACGUCCGCUCUUGAGGCUACCAACGUGGAGAAGGCCUUCAUGACCGGCCUCGAAGAGAUAUACCGCACCGUCAGCAAGAAAAACCUUGUCGCCAACGACGAGGCUAACUCCGGUGGGAACUCGAGCUUGCUGAAAGGAACGAAAGUUAUCAUCCCUGGCCAGGAGCCGGCCCCUCCGGCCAAGGCAGCAUGUUGUAUGUCCUCCUAG
rnacentral:rRNA from 1 species